GAAGGGUGUUGAUACGCGUUCUUGAGUAGAAGGGGAGCCAGCGUCCUGAUGGAGAGAGUUCUGACCCGAGCUGCUGACCCAGAAGACGAAAUGAGAAGAGAGAUAGACUGGAAAGUUCAUUCCGGCUUAAUCCAGGUGGAAUUUCAUCAGAGCUCCUGGAGAGUGUGACAGCAGCGUGCCUGGGAGGGAGCUGCGGCGGGAGGAGAGGCGCUUCCCCCAGGUGUGGUGUCUGUCUACCAGAUACCUGCAGUUCCUAAGGAGGACAGAAGAGGGCGCUGUAUCUCCUGGUGGCUCCAGCUCCAUCCAGCUCUUGCAGAGAUUAAGAAGAGACUAUGGCUGGCGCUUCCAACACAAGGCAGAGGCUGUGCCAAACAGACCUUUCUGGGUGUCAGGCUUGUAAACAGCAAGUCAAGUGAAGAGAAAGAAAAGCCAUUGUUUCUAUUGGCUUCAGGCAUGGUUGGAUUCAAGCACUCAACUAGUCAGGGCGCCUCUGGGAUUCGCUGCUUUUUGUGUUAGAUCCACUCCUGGGUGGGACAUUGGCCUGGCAGCAUCUUACCUUCGUCUUACUAAGUAUAAGACCAUUUGAAAGAU
rnacentral:lncRNA from 1 species